AUUGAACGCUGGCGGCAUGCCUUACACAUGCAAGUCGAACGGCAGCACGGGUGCUUGCACCUGGUGGCGAGUGGCGAACGGGUGAGUAAUACAUCGGAACGUACCUUAUCGUGGGGGAUAACGCAGCGAAAGCUGUGCUAAUACCGCAUACGCCCUGAGGGGGAAGGCGGGGGAUCGCAAGACCUCGCGCGAUUAGAGCGGCCGAUGCCUGAUUAGCUAGUUGGUGGGGUAAAAGCCCACCAAGGCGACGAUCAGGAGCUGGUCUGAGAGGACGAUCAGCCACACGGGGACUGAGACACGGCCCAGACUCCUACGGGAGGCAGCAGUGGGGGAUUUUGGACAAUGGGGGCAACCCUGAUCCAGCAAUGCCGCGUGAGUGAAGAAGGCCUUCGGGUUGUAAAGCUCUUUUGUCAGGGAAGAAACACCGGCUCUAACACAGUCCGGGAAUGACGGUACCUGAAGAAUAAGCACCGGCUAACUACGUGCCAGCCGCCGCAGUAA
rnacentral:rRNA from 1 species